CUCGCACAACCGAAUUCGCGCCUCUUUGUUGUCGUCGAUGGAUGUUGGAGGCUUGCAAGUCAGCUAAAAAUGGAAGACACACCGAAAACACUUGUGGCAAUUCUUGUAGAUGGCACAGAGUUUUUCAAGAAGCUCUUUUAUCUGAGAAGUGUUGCAGAAAUAAUUGAUGCUUGCAAGCCUCUAUUACCUUGUGCAGCGAAAUGUACCCGAGUUUUGAAAUUCAACGCUGAUUUCAACGAAUAUAUUGAUACAGACCUUGCCGACAACAUCCAAAACUUGGACAAAUUUCAAGUUUUGUUUAAAUCAAUUAAGGAUGGACAAGUGGAUGUAAAUGCAGCUGGUUCAAGUCAUCAAGAAAAUGU